AACGUAGGACGCAAGCGUUAUCCGGAGUUACUGGGCGUAAAGCGCGCGCAGGCGGACUGUUAAGUUAGCCAUGAAAGCUCCCGGCUAAACUGGGAGAGGCUGGUUAAGACUGGCAGUCUUGAGUGAGUGAGAGGGAAGUGGAAUUCCGCGUGUAGUGGUGAAAUGCGUAGAGAUGCGGAGGAACACCAGAGGCGAAGGCGGCUUCCUGGCACUCAACUGACGCUGAGGCGCGAAAGCAUGGGUAGCGAAC
rnacentral:rRNA from 1 species